CCCAGAACGGCGUCGCAGCGUGGUAUUUGGGGUCAACCUUGAAGGAUACCAAGGACCAUCUUUGCAACUCUGCUUGGGGAGAAUGGGUAAGAUUUUUUCUUUUUUAUGUUACAUAUGCUUAUGCAUGCAUGCUGAUGAGUACUUAGUCCUGGUACUUUUAUGCUUAUGUAUGUCCAUGCAUAUUUAGACUAUAUGAAUGCAUGUUUAGACUAUGUGUUGCUCGUGUAUGAAUGCAUGCUUCGUGCUAUUUCACAUGUUAUGCCCAUGUAUGAAUGCAUACUCGGUUUUUGUCAUGCUCAUGCAUGUAUGCUUAUUCUACGUGUUCAUGUUAGGACAAUGAAUGUAUGCUCAUGCAUGUAUGCCUACGCAUGCUUUUAGAAUUCUGUUCCUUGAUGCCUAAGCUUAGGCUGAACCCGCAUACAGGAAAUACGGCUAUCCCAAUAACAUAGGAUCCUGGGUUAACUGCACCCAUCCUCUCAUACAGCAGACCAUUCACAAUAUGCCUUUUUGUCCUUGUUUCUACCCCUGUGCCUGGAAGUUGGAUGUCGAGCUUACCCGGGCUCUUGCCAAGAGAUGAUGGUCGAGCACCCAUAACUUUCACCUUUUGCGGUUGAAAUGAUGAUCACCCCCUCUGCUUCUAUACUUUGACCGGCCUGCCCUUUGGUGGCGAGCCCAUCACUUUAUCUACCCCUAUAGCAGGUCCACUUUAUUGGAUCUUACGGGCAUUGAUUCUACUGCCUCCACCAUCCUUCUCUCUACCAUCAGCAAGUUCCACACUGAUAAGAAGGUGACCGUGUCCACCUCUCGGGUGGAGAAGGACUAGUUUCUUUGCAGCAUCUUCCUUUACUGGGCUAGCCAGUGCCUAUUCAGUAACCCUUCUGACAAGGUCGAUCUCCGGCUAGCCUACUACUUCAGUGACCUUUGGAAUAUCCAGAAGUAUGACUGGGGUGGCACCGCCUACGCGUACUUCCUGAGGAUGAUGGAUCGUCUGGCCUGGGCCGAUCCAAGCUUGUAUGGGGCUACCUUCAUUCUUCAGGUUAAUUGGACUCCCUUCCAGACGGUGACUUUUCACUUGGAGGCUCAUCGAGAAGAGGCUAGGAGACGCACUGGUCUUCGUGUUCUAUUCCAGGGUCCCAAUGGUCAUACUUGGUAUCUGGGGAGAGGUCGCCAAGCAGUGGUUUGAUAAGAUGGUCCACUAGUUCCUCAUCAUCAUCCUCCAUCCAUACAUAACCCUAGCAUUCUUUCUAAUGAGGAAUUUCAAGCGGCCUUAACUGGGGUAACCGGGGAUAACUUCACAGACCCGUUGCGGGCCUACGAGGAGUUUCUUCAGAAGGAGACCGUAUGCAUGCCGCUGACUUCUGAUGGUCCCUAGGUAAACAUCCUGAACUUCUUUUCAAUUACUUUGACUAUCACAUAGAUGGUCAUCUUCCUUGGCCGAAAUGCCCUAGGUCAGUAGGUGCUUCUAUAGAGGGUUCCUCCCAUAUGAGUGCCAGGUUGGUUCAUAAUGUGGCUAAGCUGCCCUCCUCCACUCCAAGCUUCCCCGGAUGGACAUACCACAAUGCACAGGAUCCCACAACCUAGAUUAUGUUGCCAAGGGCCCCAGAAGCAGGUGAGAUGAUGGGCCUUCCCAUCCCCUUCAACUAUUGUCUUACUGCCAGAGCUUGUAUAUCACUGACAUUGAGGCAAGGCUCCAUCAGUUCCACUCUGGAUUCGGAGGCGGGGGACCUGAUGCCAGACACGGGGGUGAGGGUCCCAACCCUGUGCAUGGAGGCGGAGAUCCCAAUCAUAGAGGUGGAGGGUCCAACCUUGGAUUUGGAGGUGGAGAGCCCUCCUUUAGGGCUGGUAAAUCUGAUUUCGGGAGCGGAGAGACCAAUGCAGGCCCCACCUUUUUUAUGGAUGAGCUCCAACUUCUCAUAGAGGAAGACAGGUAGGACACAUAGAGUGGACAUGGUGGACAGUCAUAGGGCUGACCAACGACUUUUACAUGUAGACCUUCAUUUUAUUUGAACUCCCUCUUUUUCCCUUUUUUUUUUU